rnacentral:rRNA from 1 species
GCUCAGAACGAACGCCGGCGGCGUGGAUAAGACAUGCAAGUCGAGUGCUAAUUUCAGGGUAGCAAUAUUCUGGAGUUGGAGUGGCGCAAGGGUGCGUAACACGUGGGUAAUCUGCCAUGAAGUUCGGGAUAACUUGCUGAACGGCGAGUUAAUACCGGAUGUGACAACCGAGAGGCAUCUUUUGGUUGUUAACGUUGGGGACCGUAAGGCCUGACGCUUCUUGAUGAACCAGCGGCCUAUCAGCUAGUUGGUGAGGUAACGGCUCACCAAGGCUAACAGGAUUAGCUGGUCUGAGAGGACGACCAGGGACCCUGGAACUGAGACACGGUCCAGACACCUACGGGUGGCAGCAGUCGAGAAUUUUUCACAAUGGGCGAACGCCUGAUGGAGUGACGCCGCGUGGGGGAUGAAUGGCUUCGGCCAGUAACCACCUGUCAUUCGCGAUCAACCAUUAUUAUUUAACAGAUGAUGAGCUGAUAGUAGCGGAAGAGGAAGGGACGGCUAACUCUGUGCCAGCAGCCGCGGUAAUACAGAGGUCCAAAGCGUUGUUCGGAUUCACUGGGCGUAACGGGUGCGUAGGUGGUGAGGUAAGUCGGAUGUGAACGCUCGGAGUUCAACUCCGAACUGGCAUUGGAACCUACCUUGCUCGAGGGUUGGAGGGGGGACUGGAAUACUUGGUGUAGCAGUGAACUGCGUAGAUAUCAAGUGGAACACCAGUGGCGAAGGCGAGUCCAUGGACAACUCCUGACACUGAGGCACGAACGCUAGGGGAGUAACCAGGAUUAGAUACCAUGGUAGUCCUAGCCGUAACCGGUGCACGUUUGCUGUAACAG